AGAGUUUGAUCCUGGCUCAGGAUUAACGCUAGCGGCAGGCAUAAUACAUGCAAGUUGAACGGGAUAAGUUGUAGCAAUACGACUUUGAGAGUGGCGCACGGGUGCGUGACACGUAUGCAAUCUGCCCCUAUCUGUGGAAUAGCCCCUCGAAAGAGGGAUUAAUACCACAUAAUAUAGUGAGUAGGCAUCUACUUACUAUCAAAGCUCCGGCGGAUAGGGAUGAGCAUGCGGCUGAUUAGCUAGUUGGUGAGGUAAUGGCUCACCAAGGCUACGAUCAGUAGGGGGUCUGAGAGGAUGUCCCCCCACACUGGUACUGAGACACGGACCAGACUCCUACGGGAGGCAGCAGUAGGGAAUAUUGGUCAAUGGGGGCAACCCUGAACCAGCCAUGCCGCGUGCAGGAUUAAGGCCCUAUGGGUCGUAAACUGCUUUUGUACGGGAAGAAAUCACAUUACGUGUAAUGUGUGACGGUACCG
rnacentral:rRNA from 1 species